AACCAAGUAGAAGCUCCCGCUUCUCACCUGUUGCGACGCAAAAGCUGUUGGCAGGUCUUAUAUACACACGAUGAAGUCAUGUGUAGAGAAGAGCGGGUAUAUUGUAUACUCGCUCUUUUUGCU
rnacentral:sRNA from 1 species